rnacentral:pre_miRNA from 7 species
UGUUAUGACUUCUGGGUGGUCGUGGAAUCUCAGAUGAGCCCCCACAUGAAGGAACUCCCGAAGGGAGACCCUCACUCCAGUCUCAGGAAUCGCGAGCCCAGAUAGUCACAACAGUCA